GUUUUGGGGCUCAGUGGCACAGCGCUUGCCUAGCAUGCAUGAGGUAUUGGGUUUGAUCCCCAGCACCACA
rnacentral:tRNA from 1 species